rfam:Glycine soja cultivar W05 scaffold1660_215, whole genome shotgun sequence.
UUGUUUGCAGGUGCAGCAGCAUCAAGAUUCACACACAGAUUCCACCUCCUUGGGGGAGUGUUUAGGUGCUGAGAAUCUUGAUGAUGCUGCAUCAGCAAUAGA